rnacentral:rRNA from 1 species
UACGUAGGGGGCUAGCGUUGUCCGGAAUCAUUGGACGUAAAGCGCGUGUAGGCGGUCCGGUAAGUCCGCUGUGAAAGUCGGGGGCUCAACCCUCGGAUGCCGGUGGAUACUGUCGGGCUCGAGUCCGGAAGAGGCGAGUGGAAUUCCUGGUGUAGCGGUGAAAUGCGCAGAUAUCAGGAGGAACACCAAUGGCGAAGGCAGCUCGCUGGGACGUGACUGACGCUGAGACGCGAAAGCGUGGGGAGCAAACAGG